UAUCCAAUCCGAGUACUUUGCUACUUAGAUCAUCUAAUCUAAUAUAUACUGGACUGAUCAAUAUCAAAUAUAAAAAUUAAAAUUAUUUAUAUCUAAUCUAAAUAACAUAAAAUCAGAUCUAAAUAUAUAUAAAAUUAUAUCAUAUUGAAUGAGAUUUUGAUACCAUUUGAAAAAAAAUUAGGCAGUUCUAUGCAUACAAUUUUAAAAUUUUACAGCAA
rnacentral:lncRNA from 1 species